rnacentral:rRNA from 1 species
UACGUAGGUGGCAAGCGUUGUCCGGAAUUAUUGGGCGUAAAGCGCGCGCAGGCGGUCCUUUAAGUCUGAUGUGAAAGCCCACGGCUCAACCGUGGAGGGUCAUUGGAAACUGGGGGACUUGAGUGCAGGAGAGAAGAGUGGAAUUCCACGUGUAGCGGUGAAAUGCGUAGAGAUGUGGAGGAACACCAGUGGCGAAGGCGGCUCACUGGCCCGGUACUGACGCUGAGGCGCGAAAGCGUGGGGAGCAAACAGG